rnacentral:rRNA from 1 species
GCAGCCGCGGUAAUACGGAGGAUGCAAGCGUUAUCCGGAUUUAUUGGGUUUAAAGGGUGCGUAGGCGGGUUAUUAAGUCAGUGGUGAAAGCGUGUGGCUCAACCAUACCAAGCCAUUGAAACUGGUGACCUUGAGUGCAAACGAGGUAGGCGGAAUGUAACGUGUAGCGGUGAAAUGCUUAGAUAUGUUACAGAACCCCGAUUGCGAAGGCAGCUUACCAGCAUGCAACUGACGCUGAGGCACGAAAGCGUGGGUAUCAAACAGGAUUAGAUACCCC